GAUGAACGCUGGCGGCGUGCCUAAUACAUGCAAGUCGAGCGAACAGACGAGGAGCUUGCUCCUCUGACGUUAGCGGCGGACGGGUGAGUAACACGUGGAUAACCUACCUAUAAGACUGGGAUAACUUCGGGAAACCGGAGCUAAUACCGGAUAAUAUAUUGAACCGCAUGGUUCAAUAGUGAAAGACGGUUUUGCUGUCACUUAUAGAUGGAUCCGCGCCGCAUUAGCUAGUUGGUAAGGUAACGGCUUACCAAGGCAACGAUGCGUAGCCGACCUGAGAGGGUGAUCGGCCACACUGGAACUGAGACACGGUCCAGACUCCUACGGGAGGCAGCAGUAGGGGAAUCUUCCGCAAUGGGCGAAAGCCUGACGGAGCAACGCCGCGUGAGUGAUGAAGGUCUUCGGAUCGUAAAACUCUGUUAUUAGGGAAGAACAAAUGUGUAAGUAACUAUGCACGUCUUGACGGUACCUAAUCAGAAAGCCACGGCUAACUACGUG
rnacentral:rRNA from 1 species